CAGCCGCGGUAAUACGUAGGGUGCAAGCGUUGUCCGGAUUUAUUGGGCGUAAAGAGCUCGUAGGCGGUCAGUCGCGUCGGCCGUGAAAGCCCGAGGCUCAACCUCGGAAUUGCGGUCGAUACGGGCUGACUAGAGUUCGGUAGGGGAGACUGGAACUCCUGGUGUAGCGGUGAAAUGCGCAGAUAUCAGGAGGAACACCGGUGGCGAAGGCGGGUCUCUGGGCCGAUACUGACGCUGAGGAGCGAAAGCGUGGGGAGCAAACAGGAUUAGAUACCCUGGUAGUCCACGCCGUAAACGUUGGGCGCUAGGUGUGGGCUCCAUUCCACGGAGUCUGUGCCGCAGCUAACGCAUUAA
rnacentral:rRNA from 1 species